CUAGUUUGGUUAAGACUUGGUCGAGUAUGGUUCAGACUAGGUCGAGUAUGGUUCAGACUAGGUCGAGUACGGUUCAGACUAGGUCGAGUACGGUUCAGACUCGUAUAAAACGGUUAAGAACUGGUCAAGUACACAUUCAGACUGUUAAGUAUGGUUCAGACUACAGUCGAGUAUUAUCAAGUAAAUCUCAGACGAAUUCAGACUGGUCGAGUAAAAAUCAGUACAGU
rnacentral:lncRNA from 1 species